rnacentral:ncRNA from 1 species
AAUGCAAGGGCUAUAGCUCAGUUAGGUAAAGCACCUCGUUUACACGCGCACUAAUGUUUUUCAGGGGAGUCUAUCAUGCAAUCAAGAGAAUUGAGGUGAGGCAAUAGCUUACCAAGGCGAUGAUCAGUAGCUAGUUCGAGAGGAUGAUCAACCACACUGGGAUUGAGACACGACCCAGACUCUUACGGGAGGCA